UAAAAUUGGGUUUUGGGUCUUCUUUCUCUCGUUGAUCAAAAUCACGAAUAGGUUUUUUUGGUGUCCUACGACUUCUUCCAUUGGUGGUGAUUUUCGUUCUCUCACUCAUUUCCAUUUGCGUUUUUGAACUGCUUGAAUCAGUGGUUGGGAAGGUUAUUGAUGGGUGUGAGGGUUUAGCAUCAUUGUGGUGGUCGCAAUAGGUGGUUGUGGAGGCUUCCUUUGACUGUGAAGUUUAACGUUUUUGCUUGUUCGUGCCAGCUCUGAAGUAUGGGGGUUUUACAUCAUCAUUCGUGGGCGUUUCAAUUUUUUUGGCGUCUCUCGUAAGUAUAUUUGAGAUUUUACAAACGAUAUCGGGCUCAAGAUAAAACACGUUCCAUGAAGACUCUAAGUACUAAGGAGUGCACGGACAAUUACAACUUCUACGACAACAGAUGGUUUAUCAGUGGGUAUUACACGAAGAAAAUGUUCAUCGAAGUAUGGUCAU